AGCUUGACCAAGAUUUGGAGGCUGUUCACUCUUAACCACUGUCGCUUCAGUCCUUAGAGAGACAGUGUGCAUAACCUUCACUGCUUUCAGUGGGAACCUGCAUGAAAGUGAGAUAAAUGAAUUUGCAUAUCGUGUGAAGGUAGAAGCAAGCUAGGCUUUUCUUAAAGCUUAAAAUUGGGCCCCGAAUAAAGGUCUAUUAACCUCUCUA